GACAGAGGGUGCAAACGUUGUUCGGAAUUACUGGGCGUAAAGCGCGUGUAGGCGGCUCGGCAAGUCGGGUGUGAAAGCCCUGGGCUUAACCUAGGAAGUGCACUCGAAACUGCCAAGCUUGAGUUCUGGAGAGGAAGGCGGAAUUCUCGGUGUAAAGGUGAAAUUCGUAGAUAUCGAGAGGAACACCGGUGGCGAAGGCGGCCUUCUGGACAGCAACUGACGCUGAGACGCGAAAGCGUGGGGAGCAAACAGG
rnacentral:rRNA from 1 species